rnacentral:rRNA from 1 species
UACGAAGGGGGCUAGCGUUGCUCGGAAUCAUUGGGCGUAAAGCGCGUGUAGGCGGUCCGGUAAGUCCGCUGUGAAAGUCGAGGGCUCAACCCUCGAAUGCCGGUGGAUACUGUCGGGCUAGAGUACGGAAGAGGCGAGUGGAAUUCCUGGUGUAGCGGUGAAAUGCGCAGAUAUCAGGAGGAACACCAAUUGCGAAGGCAGCUCGCUGGGACGUUACUGACGCUGAGACGCGAAAGCGUGGGGAGCAAACAGG